UGAAGACCCAAAUCAUCCUGGUUAUUACAAGAAAAAAAAGGUGGAAGAAAGUUUAGAGGAUUUUGUGGAUGAUGAGGAUGUUGUUGUUGGUGAAGGUGGGGAUGAUGAAGAAGAGGAGGAAUUUGGGGAUUUUAUUGAGGGGGAGUUGGAAGAAGGUGGAAGUGAAGAAAUGGGGUCAGGGAGUGAGGAUGGAUUUGAUGAUUGGGAUUCCGAGGAAUGGGAAUUGGGGUUGGAAGAAGCCGAGGGUGAUUUGAAAGAGUUAGAUGGUUUUUUGCCUGCGGGUGUAGGUUAUGGUAACAUUACACAGGAGGUUCUUGAGAAAGGAAAGAAGAAAAGGGUGUCGAAAUCGGAGAGGAAAAGGAUGGCAAGGGAAGCGGCUAAGGGAGAGAAAGAGGAGGUCACGGUUUGUGCUCGAUGUCAUUCAUUGAGGAACUAUGGACAAGUGAAGAAUGAGCUGG
rnacentral:misc_RNA from 1 species